ensembl:lncRNA
AACUGCUUCUGGAGAGCAACAACUUGGUCUCCGAGAAGGAGGCGUAAUGUCAAGUUACCCUCUUUAGUUCAGAGCAAACAGAAGGCGGGAGAGCGCUACUCAAGCAUGCGUCAGAUGGAAAGCAGUGGCCGAGCGGCUGUGCAAACAUACAGCACAAAGAAGGGAAGAAGGGAGGCUCACGACGGCCCAAAGAUGAGAAGGUAAGUGACAAGGUGGCACAAGAGGGACCGCACACCUAAAGAAACAGGCGGUGAACAAUGACUCUAAAUAUGAAACAUGUCGCAUACCGGUAAGCAGCAUGUUACCAAGCAGACGUGAUUAAUGAAAACCUGGACCAUGUGGAAACAGUCGUGUGAGUUUGCUAGGCCUGCCGUAACAAAGACCCCAACUGAGUGGCUUUAAACAGCAGAAGUGUAUUCUCUCACGGUCCAGAGCCCGGGGCUUCGGAAUCAAGACUUUGACGGGGUUGGUUCCUUCCGGAGGUCCUGAGGGAGGAGUUGCUCCAGCCUCUCUCCUAGUUUCUGGUGGUUGCCAGCAGCCGUUGGCUUUCCACGGCUUGUAAACGUACCACUCCAAUCUCUGCUUCUGUCUUCACGUGGCUUUCUUUCCUCUGUGUGGCUGUGUCAAAAUUUCCCUCUUCUCAUAAGGACACUAGUCACUGGAUUAGGACCCACUGUAAUCCAAUAUGACCUCAUUUUAACUUUAUCACAUCUGCAAAGACCCUAUUUCCAAUUACAGGCAUAUUUUUUGGUUUUUGUGCUUUGCUUUAUGGCAUACUGCUUUUUUUUUUUUUUUUUUUUUGGUGAGGAAGAUUGUCUUGAGCUAACAUCUGUGCCAAUCUUCUUCUAUUUUAUGUGGGACGCCACCACAGCGUGGCUUUUUAAGCAGUGCUAGGUCCACACCUGGGAUCCAAACCUGCAAAGCCUGGGCCACCAAAGCAGAGUAUGCGAACUUCACCACUAUGCCACCAGGCCGGCUCCCAGAUACUGCAUUUUUUACAAGACCCUCCACCAGCAAAAAGAUUACUACUCACUGAAGGCUCAAAUGAUAGGUAGCAUUUUUUAGCAAUAAAGUAUUUUUUAAUUAAAGUGUGUGCAUUGUUUUUCAGACAUAAUGCUAUUGCACACUUAAUAUACCAUGGUAGAGUGUAAACAUAACUUUUAUAUGCACUGGGAAACCAAAAAAUAUUUGUGUGACUCAUCUAUUGAUAUUUGCUUUCCUGCAGUGGUUUGGAACUGAACCGGCAAUCUCUCAAAGGUUUGCUUGUAAAGUCACACUCACAGGCACCAGGGGUUAGGACUUGAACAUAUCUUUAUGGGUGACUCGAUUCAAACAACAAUAACUAUAUAACAAUAAAAUGAAGAGGAAAAGAAGAGGAAACGGAAGCAAGAGAAUUUUUGCUUGCUUCUCUUUGAAAUGGAAAGCGUAUGAGAUGCCAGUGUCUUCAUCUUUAUCUGGAAGGAGACAAUCGCUGUGUUCUCAGAUCAAGACAUGCGGUAUAGCAGACAGAGUGUGUGUGUGUGUGUGUGUGUGUGUGUGUACAGAGAGAGCAUCCCAACCUGCUAAUUCUGUAAUGUCUUGUUCUUAGAGAAAUAAUCUUUUUUGUGGUAAAGAAACAUUUAUUUAAGUUUUGACAACUUCAGUUUAUUUUUGUUCUAUGAAAUAAGUAAAAUUUAAAUGUAAUGAUAUUUUUUCUUUUAAAGACUCCAGUACCCAUUUAGGAGGUUGCUCAUUAAGCAGUUCUGACGCUGACUUCCUCCCUGACAGCCGUCAAGGAUCAUAAAGUGUGCGAAUAAGGCAGAGCCUCGGUUAGAUUUGAAGCUCCAGCAGCCAGCAGCGUGCUUUGUCCAUAGUUGCUGCUUAAUAAAUGUGUGUUAAAUUGGAUCAUUUUGUUGCUAAUUAUGCAGAGUGUUGUACCAGAUAACAUACAACAAAAGCAGGGCCGACAGGCCUCUGGAAUCUUCACUCGUGGAGGUACAAGGUGUCCCAUUUUUAAGGACUAUAUCUUCCAUUUCUCUUUUGCACCCACAGUCCAACUCUGGGAGAUUAAUUCAGACAUAGCCGAAGGGGAGAGGGCACAGCUGUCCUCAGAUGGGCUGCCUGUACUGAAAGGGAGAUCGAGUCCUUCUUUCUGUCUGGAACGUGGUUAGUGCUCCCUGCUCUAAAGUCAUGUUCUCUGGCCCCACAGUAAUUUCCUUCCUGGACAGCAGAUUCUGCUGGUGAAAAGCCCCGGCUGAGAUCCACCGGCUCCUCGGGCUCAGCCCCUUCCCGGCAGAGGGCAUGCUGGCUGCUGACGAAUGGAGCCUGGUUCAGGAAUGAGCAGAUGCUGCUGCUGACAGGUGCUGCCAGGCGUGCUGGGACAUCCACUGAGCACCAUCGGCCUUGCACUUCCGCGGUCCUGCGGCCCCCCAACGUCAGCUCUCCUCCAACCCGUGUGGAAGGUGACAGAGAGCAGCUCAGGGUUUAGUGAAAACACCCUGCCAGGAUGGAACUGGCUUUCGCUGUUAUUAACAGGCUCUGGAGAAGGAAAACCAGGGCUAAAUGCCUGUCGCCUCUUUAUCUGCAUCUAUAUAGCUCGAAGAUCCCUCUCUUUCACCCUGCCUAGCCCUCUCUCGCUCUCGUUUGCACCCGGGUGCAAUCAAUAUUCCGCUCGAUCACAGAUUCCAGACCUGCCAGGCUGGGAUGGCGGUUCCUGUGCUGACUCAUCCACUCAGCCUGUCACCAUCACGUGCUCCCUCUGCCAGAAAGGCCACGUGGUGGGAUCUCCAGCUCUGGCUCAUCGUUGCUCCAAUCAGUUUCCUUUUCCCUUUUCCCCAGAAUGUUAUUUGAGUCCUCUUCUGUCCCCUGUCGCCCUGGGAGUCCCAGAGAGGCAUUAACAUAGGCUUGGGUUUUGCAGGACACUGAUGGAAGGUGGGCACGGAAUAGCAUUGUUCCCUGCCAGCAUCAAGAAGCAGCCACUAAACAGAGGGAAGCACAAACGCUGGUGACCAAGGGCGAGGUCUGGAGCUAAUAACACACUGUAAAUAGCAGCCCGCCCCCCAGGAUGAUAUUUUCUGUUCCCAGGUUUGGCUUGAUUUCCUAAUUUUACAAGCUAACUAUGAAGAAUUUGGCAGGGGGGAGGGGGAGUGGAGAAAAUUAAAUACUCAUUUAAAUUCUUUCCUAGCUGUCGAGUGAUGGAGGUUUCCAGCUGGCUGGACCUCAGAGAUCGCUGCGUUCAACAUCCUGUCUCCACAGAGGAGACACAAGGACACUGAGAUAGGCUGUGGCUUCCCCGAGGUCACACGGCUGGGCAGGGUCCUGGGUCCGGUCCAGGGAUAUUUCCUCGCCUCCUUUAAGUGUAAUCUCUUUGUGUGCUACUGUCCAAAUUGUUUAUUCUGCAAGUGUUUUACUCUGCAAAGGCUGCUUUGGACCCGUGGACCGACAGGGAUGCUGGCAGAGAGACCGGCAGGGGGAAGCGUGCUUCUACACAGUGGUGAUGGGAGGUCACCCUGCAGCCAGGGGUACUCGGGGAGAGUUCAGUGGCAGAGGACAGACAGAGGCUUCACACUGGAGAUUUUGAAGAAGGUGAUGGGCAAUUUGGCAUUCUGCACCUUUGGGUCACAAAGCAGUGUGAUCUCUUCUGAAAAGUUCUUUUUCCAACCUUGUGGAAAUCUCUGCAGGAAAAUGGUGCUUGGCUCCCGUUAAUUCCACUCCCCUGGUUUGCAACAAAGGAGACGCUGGCUCACAAACUAAGGAGGGAAAGGGGGACCAUCAGGGCUUACCAAGCCGAACUGCCACUCCAGGGUAAGUCAGCCCAGGGUCCCCUUAAAGGGGAAUGUGGGUAGGCUGCUUUGAUGGGAUUGUGGGCAGGAAGUAAUAAUUUGAGGGAGGAAAGAGAAGACACCCUAGGUACCGUCUUUAAGGCUGUGAGAUCACGGGCUCGUAGACCUCAGAGCUGAGUCACCUCCGAGGCCAUCUGCCCAUUCACGUAUCCUGUGCAAGACUCUACUCAGUCAGCCUUCUUUGAAGAAUUCCAUGUACCCACGUACAAGAGAGAGCCUCUCCUUUCGGAUUAUCCCUUCUAUUUGGGGGGGCUCUAAUUGUUAAAACGUUCAUGGUUAUAUGGUAUCAGAAUGGGCCCCACUGUAUCUACAAGCCGUUAUUCUAAUCCUUCCAUAUGAUCCUCGGAAGUCUGAUGAUUACACCUUUGUAACACAUUUGAGAGUCUAUGCCUGCUUGGGGUGGGGGAGGACGGUGGAGGGGGAGCUCCCACACCAUCCAGUUGUAUAACCUUGGCAAUUACAGAUAACCAGCAAGCAAGCCAGUGAUUUAUUCAGUUAAAGGUUAUCAAAGACUAAAUCUAAAAAUCGUAUUUUCAUUUCAUAAGUCUAUUUGAAUUUAUAAAUCCUGAAUUUUGCAGCAAGGAAACAAGCUCAGCCAACUUUCAAAUGCUACCAUUGGAAAUAUUACAAUAACUCUGAAGUUUCUGCCAAGACAUACUGCCACCUUCGGUGAUGACGGUCAUUCCGUCACCAAGCCCAGGACCUUGGCGCUUCCUAUGCCUCCCUCUCUUCCACCAGGGUCGAGUUUGCUAGAUGCUGAGACCCUGCCCUAGCUUCCUUCCACCUCACCAUGGCCUCCAACCACUCCCCCGGUCCAGGCUUUGCUCCCCACAGCACAGAGUCCCAAUGCCCAAGCUGCCAGGUUGGCAUCAUCAGGCCAGGGGCCCUCACCAGCCUGCCCUGCGCCUUAGUGGCAGUCUGGCGGCAGCCAUCCUCCUGCACUGGUGGUGCCCUGAGAUUCUCUUCUCUAUUUCAGGCACAGUGCCUGGCCUGGAGGAAGCACUUGGCACACACUUCUGAAGGAAGAAGUGUCCCCUUGUCGGCCGAGGCAGCUCAGAUCCCACCAGGCCCUGAGGAGCCACCCGAGAGCCUCUCCACCCUUCUCCCUCUCUGCGCCUUGGGCAGGGGCAGGCCACGGGGGCAAACAGCGCUCUCCAUCCUUCUCCUGCUCAAAAACAGCCGCUCUGCUCUCCUCAGGCUGGCCAGACGUUCCCACCACAGCCCUGCUCGUGAUAAUAUAUCCCAUACAUUGUGCAUAGUACACAGUACACUAGUUUUAACAUAAGAUUCAAUUUUAU